GAUGUCCAUGGUGAACUAUAUGAAUUAGAUGUAUCAGAACUAUCAUUAUUUCUAACCUGAGAUUUCCUUCCUUUAAAAUUUUGUCCUAUAUUUCUGUUCCAAGGAUGAUUGGACUGCCAACUCGAUGCUAAAAGUAAAAAGAAAAAUCUGGAGCCUCAUCAUCAUCAACAGCAUCGGUACCUUUCAUUCUAAAUAAUCGGAAGUUAUAUUUAAUAAAUGAAGUAUUAUACGUGUAAUAGAACUACUCAAUAUUUACAACUUACUUAGUUAAUUCAUGUAAAAAGACAAUAGAUGUAUAUGGACUAUUAAAUCUUACACAGUAAUGUGGAUCAGAAACUCGUCCAAAAACAUCAAAUACUCUGCCCAAUGUUCUUUUUCCUUUAUCAAUAAAAAGGACAGUAUCUAAA